ACUUGCUUAAUUGAAGCCUCGCAUUGAAUCGGAGUGCCUAGUGGGCCAUUUUUGGUAAGCAGAACUGGCGCUGUGGGAUGAACCGAACGUUGAGUUAAAGUGCCAAAGUGGGCGCUCAUCAGAUCCCAUGAAAGGUGUUGGUUGCUUAAGACAGCAGGACGGUGGCCAUGGAAGUCGGAAUCCGCUAAGGAGUGUGUAACAACUCACCUGCCGAAGCAACUAGCCCUGAAAAUGGAUGGCGCUUAAGCGCCCCACUUAUACUCAACCGUUGGAGCAGAGCUGACCCUUGAGGUCCUGAUGCUCCAACGAGUAGGAAGGUCGCGUGGGUGGCGCCGAAGGCUUUUGGGUGUGAACCUGGCCGGAGCCGCCCACGGUGCAGAUCUUGGUGGUAGUAGCAAAUACUCGAGAGAGGCCCUCGAGGACCGAUGUGGAGAAGGGUUUCGUGUGAACAGCCGUUGAACACGAGUCAGUCGAUCCUAAGGCUUAGGGGAAACCUUGUUCAAUCGUGAGCAGUUCUCUCUACUCGUUAGAUCGUGAAAGCUCAUCACAGCCGAAAGGGAAUUUGGUCCUUAUUCCAAGACCUGGCCGUGGAACCGUUUCGGAUAUCUCAUAUCCGUCGUGGCAACGCGACACGACUAGGAGACGCCCACCGGAGCUCUGGGAAGAGUUGUCUUUUCUGCAUAAGCCGCCGAGGCCCUGGAAUCCUCUCGCAGGGCGAACGGGUUUUGGUUUUGGCGAAGAGUGCAGCAGUUCUCGCUGCAUCCACGAGUGGCCGGUGGGACCUUGAAAAUCCUAGGGAGAUUACGGCGGAGUCACGCCAGCUCGUACCCAUAUCCGCAGCAGGUCUCCAAGGUGAACAGCCUCUGGUCGAUAGAAUAAUGUAGGUAAGGGAAGUCGGCAAAUUGGAUCCGUAACUUCGGGAUAAGGAUUGGCUCUGAGGGUUGGGGCGGUCGGGCUUUGCACAGGAAGCGGCUGUGUCCACCGGCGGGCCUGGGCAAGUCUCGCGAGAGGCGAACCCGGUCCCGUUCACGGGCCUCCGUGGAUUGUCAUUGCUUUGCGGGCUCUCCUUCGCGGGGGAUGUCCCGUUCGGUCGUCGAUCAACAACCAACUCAGAACUGGCACGGACUAGGGGAAUCCGACUGUCUAAUUAAAACAAAGCAUUGCGAUGGUCAGAGAGUGAUGUUGACGCAAUGUGAUUUCUGCCCAGUGCUCUGAAUGUCAAAGUGAAGAGAUUCGUCCAAGCGCGGGUAAACGGCGGGAGUAACUAUGACUCUCUUAAUUGGUGAUCCGAGAGGCGCAACCAGUUUGACCGCACACAUGUAGAGGGGAGGGGGCUUGGAUCAGGCUCCUGCGCGUGGUCCGUCGACCGUAGUCCUUAGCUGUGAGAGGCUUUGGGCAAGCGUCUAUCUCUGCAUCGUUCUCGUCGUGAGAGUCGACGAACCUUCAACUUAAGUCGGUGUUACUCAGCCGCUUGAAGGUCGCCAAUGUGUGCUAACGAGCCCGAUCGCGGGUAAAGCGUAGUGGAAGUUCUGUGAAAUCUACGUACCGCAGUGAUCUUCUGCGGCGAAGCCCCAAUUUUCUCUUUGGGGCUUUUUUUUCCAAGACUUUUAGUCUUGCCUUUUUUUAUUCGAUCAAAACAUAAAGAAAAGCGCGGAAGUCGUCUUGCGCGACGGAGCAUUUGGGACUUAGGCGCG
rnacentral:rRNA from 1 species